UCCCUGGUUGCCCAGUGGUUAGGUCUCUGCACUUCCACUGCAGGGGGCACGGGUUCAAUCCCUGGUCAGGGAA
rnacentral:tRNA from 1 species